rnacentral:rRNA from 1 species
GUGUCAGCCGCCGCGGUAAUACAGAGGGUGCGAGCGUUGUCCGGAAUCACUGGGCGUAAAGGGCGCGUAGGUGGUAACCUAAGCGUGCGGUGAAAGCCCGAGGCUCAACCUCGGGUCGGCCGUGCGAACUGGGUCACUUGAGCAGAAUAGAGGCAGGUGGAAUUCCGGGUGUAGCGGUGGAAUGCGUAGAGAUCCGGAAGAACACCGGUGGCGAAGGCGGCCUGCUGGGUUCUGGCUGACACUGAGGCGCGACAGCGUGGGGAGCAAACAGGAUUAGAAACCCCGGUAGUCC